UACGUAGGGGGCAAGCGUUGUCCGGAAUCAUUGGGCGUAAAGCGCGUGUAGGCGGCCCGAUAAGUCCGCUGUGAAAGUCCAGGGCUCAACCCUGGGAUGCCGGUGGAUACUGUCGGGCUUGAGUCCGGAAGAGGAGUGUGGAAUUCCUGGUGUAGCGGUGAAAUGCGCAGAUAUCAGGAGGAACACCAAUGGCGAAGGCAGCACUCUGGGACGUGACUGACGCUGAGACGCGAAAGCGUGGGGAGCAAACAGG
rnacentral:rRNA from 1 species